GAAGGAGACUAAGCAGCCAUUCUUUCACCAGAAACUGAUCGGCUAUGUUCCGAGUGGAUGUUAAUUUAUGUGAUGCAGCUGGAUAAGAGUUUCAGCAUAAGGAAGUGAAUUACCUGGAGUUGAUCACCAAUGUUAAUGAGAAGAGCGUCUGGAAUAACAGGAACUCUAAACCAUUGAUCAUCUUUAAGGAAUUGCAGGCCUUCUACGUGUUUGUCCUGAAGCACAAUAGUGAUUGCAGAUGGAUCUGUGUGCGGUGCAAGACCGAUAGCUAAAUGAUUGCUUGAAGAUGGAGGGAAAUAGUUGAAUCUCGCCCGUAGUGUUGGUUUAUCUCCAUAUUUAUCCAAAAAGCAGUGCUCUUCCAAGUUUAGUGACAUUGCCAUUGCCUUAAGGACUACCUCAUUUAUCAUCUGUAACUUUUUUGUAUAUUCAAGUAAAGUCUCCCUGCAGAUUAGGUUCUUUCUGGGUGAGUAUAUUGGAUCUCUUUUUUUAGGCAAAACAUUAUUUGAUCUUUUAUUUUAGUUGAGGAAAAAGAUUAUAUGGGGUUUAAAUGAGGAUUACAUGCUCGAAAACAGGUCUAAAUUGAGAGUUUGGUAUAUUUGUCACAAUUUGCAAAAUUAACAGACCUGAUCAUGUGUGGACUCUGAAUCGAUUUGUACUAGGCUCAACCGGACAUACGACUCUUGUACAAAUAAGUCCGAAUCUAGCCCAAACCUGAUUUGACCUUAUUUUUCAUAAAUUUGAUUUAUGUGAGGGCAAAGUGUUUAAACAUGGAAAUUGAGUUAAUAUAUACUAGGGAUCUAAAUCUACUCAUAAAAACUAGAUUAAUGCAGAUUCAGAUGCGGAUCAGACUUGUGAUUGUAACUAAGUAUUCAAACCCGCCCAAAUCCGUCCCAACAACAGAAACAAGUAACAAUGUGUUGGUUAGUGUAUCUAAUUGUAUCGACCUACCUGAAAUUUGGAGGGCUUUGAGGCCAGAAUGUGAGCUGUUGCUGGUCUUCUGAACUCAAUAUAAGAGUUAACCGGUGAUUGCAGUUAACUAUUGGUUGACCCUCAUCAACAACCAUGUCAUCUUCACCAUAACCUUCUCUGCUCUCACCAGUACCCCUCGCAUACUUCUGCUUCUCUUCCAUUGGAAGUGCGAAGAAUUGCUUGAUGACUGAUUGCAAUUCGUCCAAGAAUGAAUUCGUAAUUCCAUGAUUUAUCGA